UCCCGCUCGUUAUUCCCCAUCCCUAUGCGACAAUCCAAUUCCCGCCUCGGUUUCCGUCCACCUAUCAUGUGCAUCCGUCGAUCCCGCAAUCCUCGUUUCCCCAAUUUCCCUCAUCUCCGGUGUAAAUCAUGGCUUCCUUCCUUCCCUACCCAUGACCUCCUUCCCCAUACGAAUCACCCCGCGCCGAUCCCGUAACCCCCUUUUGUCCCUCGAUUCUCCUCUCCUUUUUCUUUCCAUCCUCGCUCGAAGGCCACCUCCCAAUCCUCUCCUCCCGCAACGCCGCUCCACCAUCUUGCGAGUUGCGAUGCCUCGCCCCACACCCCAUCUCCAUCGGCGCGGUGGCGGGCAGGAGGAGGCGGCGGCCACUAGAGCUCCAUGACGGGGCAUUCUCCAGUCAUCGUGCGAGCUCGUGGCAUCUGGCUAUCGUCUCCCAUUCUCAUCCCAACCCCCGCAUCCUGGAGGGCCGCAACGAUGGCGGCGCAUGCAACCGGUCAAGACACAGCGCACACGGCGAUGGAGUGGUGGGGGUAGAAGCUUGAAGAUGGGAGCCACCGGGCAAGGAUGGCGCUGGUAGCCCUCCGGCUACACGGCCACCAAGCAAGGACGCACAUAAGGUGUUCGACUAUAUGGCUCAGCAGGUGAAUUACCAAAUUUUUCUCUUAUUUUUCCAUGUAUUGGCACCCGAUGUCUGAACUACAUUUUUUUUGCCUAAUUAGCUUCUCCUUUGAUGCUACUUCGGGUUUUUAGUGACACGAUUGAAGCAUAGGUUUCCCACAAGAAGAUGAACACAUUGUCUGUACAUUUUGCAAUAAGCUAUGGACCUGGUUUCCCUUUUAUUCACAGAUAUUAUGAUUCUUGAUUACUGAAUUUGGUUCCCGUAUGCACGGUUGGAUGGACCCAAAUUACUCCAUGCCAACUGCUUGUGCUACUAGCAACUUCUGGAUUCUGAAUGCAGCCAAUCGUAUCAAAAAAAGGGGAACCUGUAAGUAACUUCAUUUCUUGUGAUCAUUUUUGGGGGCAUAUUGCAAUGUUCCUGUACUGAAAAAUGAAGGGUACCUACCUCUUCCUCGAUUUGUUAUUCCCAGUUGAAACUUUUGUUUCUUAACAAAUUUCUAUUCCCCAUGCAUCAAAUAGGUCCAUUGUUUAUAACAUGGAUAUUCUUUUCAUUUAAUUUCUCAACUUUUGAAUAUUGGAAAUGAGAACUUUUGCCUUGGCGUUCAUGUCUUUGAUACUCUUGGCCUCGGCCAGGUCAUGCAUGGUAUGUGCAUCUUCUCCCCCUUCUUCGUCUUUCUGUGCAUCUAUUUCUUAUAUAUUAUAUGAGUGUAGCAGGUUUUGUUGAUGUAAAUUGCAAGAAGCAAUUAGCUGCGCCCAGAACAAACUUGAGUACUUAACGUCCUCAACACCCAUUGGAUGAGGAUAUUCCAUUUUGGAUUUUUUAAAUUGACAGGCUGAAGUCAAAAUUGCUACUGCGCUGAACGCUCCCAUGUGUUUGGUAAUUUAGUCUUGGGAUGUUCUAGGAGCUGUGAUGCAUGUUCUGUAAAGGAGUGAUGCAAUAGCAAAACUGAAGAUUUGGUGGUUAUAAGGUUUGCAAUCACCAUCUGCCAUUUUUUUUAGUCAAGCUGAGCAGAUAAGAGGGGGCUUCAUAAUAGAAAAUAUGGUAGUGUCAUGGAUAGAUCCCCAGUACUCGCAAGGAAGGAAGAAGACGAACUCUUACUAGGAUUCCCCUGUAAUCCUAUUAGGACUCAUACCAUGUAAUCCUACUAUGACUACUCCUUGUAACCGACUAGUAAUCCUGCCCCUGGAGUAUAUAAAGGAGGGUAGGGGUACCUAAAUCGGGGGCUUAGACCAACAAAGCUCAGAACCAUCAUCAAUAGUCAACAACCAGGCUACACAACAUACUGUGGCUCGUAAGUGCCAUUUUGGUUUUGUACCCACUGAUUAUGCCUUUGCCUUUUGGUUUGCUGAUUUGCUCAUGUUACAUCAACUUACAUGUUAUAAUAAUGUACAUUUAAGUUAUCUGAAAGGUGAUUUGUGGU